CGAGCGUGACGUCGACUCGUUUCUGUCAGUGCCACCGAAAUUGCAAUUGGCGGAUCGUCGAGCGUGCGUUGCACCGAUCGGCUCCGGGUUGACGGUACGGUGUUCGACGAUACUUGUAUUCCAGUAUGACGGGGUGUAGCGCACCAAAGAGCACAAAUCACACGGAAGGUGGCAAAACUUUUACGCGGUGCCGGGCGGACGGACGAGACUGGCCAGCUCCGAAAGGGACCAGGAUAUGCGAAGUGCGUUCGCCUUGUUUACAGAGUGGCUUUGAAUUCUGCCCCCAAGGCUCCAAGAACCAGCACUCAUCCCCUGCAGCCACCAGCCAUUGCUCAUCCAUUCCCUUGUACGAAAUAAAUUUGAUCUAGAAG